rnacentral:rRNA from 1 species
UACGAGGGGGGCAACUGUUGUUCGGAAUCACUGGGCGUAAAGGGAGCGUAGGCGGGUUUCUAAGUCAGGUGUUUAAUCCCGGGGCCCAACCCCGGACAGGCACUUGAAACUGGGAAUCUUGAAUAGUGGAGAGGUCAGUGGAAUUGGGGGUGUAGCGGUGGAAUGCGUAGAGAUCCCCAAGAACACCAGUUGCGAAGGCGGCUGACUGGACACAUAUUGACGCUGAGGCUCGAAGGCCAGGGGAGCAAACGGG